rnacentral:rRNA from 1 species
CCCAGCACGGGGAGGUAGUGACGAAAAAUAACGAUACGGGACUCAUCCGAGGCCCCGUAAUCGGAAUGAGUACAAUUUAAAACUUUUCCCGAGGAUCAAUUGGAGGGUAAGUCUGGUGCCAGCAGCCGCGGUAAUUCCAGCUCCAAUAGCGUAUAUUAAAGUUGUUGCGGUUAAAAAGCUCGUAGUCGAAUCUGUGUCCCGCGCCGCUGGUUCAUCGCUCGCGGUGUUCAACUGGCGUGUCUCGCGGGACGUCCUGCCGGUGGGCGCUCGUAUCGUUUCGGCGGUGCGUGGCCCAACUCGUAGCCGUCUCGCGCGGUUGCGAAUCCCAUCGCGGUGCUCUUUAUUGAGUGUCGAGGUGGGCCGGCACGUUUACUUUGAACAAAUUAGAGUGCUUAAAGCAGGCCAAUUUUGCCUGAAUAUUGUGUGCAUGGAAUAAUGAAAUAGGACCUCGGUUCUAUUUUGUUGGUUUUCGGAACCCCGAGGUAAUGAUUAAUAGGAACGGAUGGGGGCAUUCGUAUUGCGACGUUAGAGGUGAAAUUCUUGGAUCGUCGCAAGACGGACAGAAGCGAAAGCAUUUGCCAAAAACGCUUUCAUUGAUCAAGAACGAAAGUUAGAGGUUCGAAGGCGAUCAGAUACCGCCCUAGUUCUAACCAUAAACGAUGCCAGCUAGCGAUCCGCCGACGUUCCUCCGAUGACUCGGCGGGCAGCUUCCGGGAAACCAAAGCUUUUGGGUUCCGGGGGAAGUAUGGUUGCAAAGCUGAAACUUAAAGGAAUUGACGGAAGGGCACCACCAGGAGUGGAGCCUGCGGCUUAAUUUGACUCAACACGGGACACCUCACCAGGCCCGGACACCGGAAGGAUUGACAGAUUGAUAGCUCUUUCUUGAUUCGGUGGGUGGUGGUGCAUGG